UUAGGAAUAUUGGGCAAUGGAGGAAACUCUGACCCAGCAACGCCGCGUGAAGGAAGAAGGUCUUCGGAUUGUAAACUUCUGUUAUGAGGGAAAAAGCAAGUGAUGGUACCUCAUGAGCAAGCCACGGCAAACUACGUGCCAGCAGCCGCGGUAAUACGUAGGUGGCAAGCGUUGUCCGGAAUAAUUGGGCGUAAAGGGAGCGUAGGUGGUGCUGUAAGUUAAAUGUGAAAUGCCAUGGCUUAACCAUGGAACUGCAUUUAAUACUGCGGUGCUAGAGUGCAGGAGAGGUAAGUGGAAUUCCUAGUGUAGCGGUGGAAUGCGUAGAUAUUAGGAGGAACACCAGAGGCGAAGGCGGCUUACUGGACUGUAACUGACACUGAGGCUCGAAAGCGUGGGGAGCAAACA
rnacentral:rRNA from 1 species